rnacentral:rRNA from 1 species
UACGAAGGGGACUAGCGUUGUUCGGAAUCACUGGGCGUAAAGCGCACGUAGGCGGAUAUGUCAGUCAGGGGUGAAAUCCCGGGGCUCAACCUCGGAACUGCCUUUGAUACAGCAUGUCUUGAGUCCGAUAGAGGUGGGUGGAAUUCCUAGUGUAGAGGUGAAAUUCGUAGAUAUUAGGAAGAACACCGGUGGCGAAGGCGGCCCACUGGAUCGGUACUGACGCUGAGGUGCGAAAGCGUGGGGAGCAAACAGGAUUAG